rnacentral:rRNA from 1 species
AGCGGCGGACGGGUGAGUAACACGUAGGCAACCUGCCUGUAAGACUGGGAUUACAUAGGGAAACCUAUGCUACUACCGGAUAGGGCAUUCUCUCGCAUGAGAGGAUGCGAAAAGAUGGCGCAAGCGAUCACUUACAGAUGGGCCUGCGGCGCAUUAGCUAGUUGGUGGGGUAACGGCCUACCAAGGCGACGAUGCGUAGCCGACCUGAGAGGGUGACCGGCCACACUGGGACUGAGACACGGCCCAGACUCCUACGGGAGGCAGCAGUAGGGAAUUUUCCACAAUGGGCGCAAGCCUGAUGGAGCAACGCCGCGUGAACGAUGAAGGCCUUCGGGUUGUAAAGUUCUGUUGGUAGGGACGAACAAGUGCCGUUCAAAUAGGGCGGUGCCAUGACGGUACCUAUCGAGGAAGCCACGGCUAACUACGUGCCAGCAGCCGCGGUAAUACGUAGGUGGCAAGCGUUGUCCGGAAUUAUUGGGCGUAAAGCGCGCGCAGGCGGCUAUGUAAGUCUGGUGUUAAAGCCCGGGGCUCAACCCCGGUACGCAUCGGAAACUGUGUAGCUUGAGUGCAGAAGAGGAAAACGGUAUUCCACGUGUAGCGGUGAAAUGCGUAGAGAUGUGGAGGAACACCAGUGGCGAAGGCGGUUUUCUGGUCUGUAACUGACGCUGAGGCGCGAAAGCGUGGGGAUCAAACAGGAUUA